rnacentral:tRNA from 1 species
GUUCCCAUCGUCUAGCGGCUAGGACGCUUCCCUUUCAAGGAGGAAACCGGAGUUCGAUUCUCCGUGGGAACG